rnacentral:rRNA from 1 species
GACAGAGGGUGCAAACGUUUUUUUUUUUUUUUUGUUCGGAAUUUACUGGGCGUAAAGCGCGUGUAGGCGGUCUCGCAAGUCGGGUGUGAAAGCCCGGGGCUCAACUCCGGAAUUGCCUUUAAGACUGCAUCGCUAGAAUUUGUGGAGAGGUAAGUGGAAUUUCCGAGUGUAGAGGUGAAAUUCGUAGAUAUUCGGAAGAACACCAGUGGCGAAGGCGACUUACUGGACACAUAUUGACGCUGAGGUGCGAAAGCGUGGGGAGCAAACAGGG